AUUGAACGCUGGCGGCAGGCCUAACACAUGCAAGUCGAACGAGUGGCGGACGGGUGCGUAAUGUCUGGGAAACUGCCUGAUGGAGGGGGAUAACUACUGGAAACGGUAGCUAAUACCGCAUACAAUCCGAUCUGCCCAGAUGGGAUUCGCUAGUAGCUGGGGUAACGGCGCACCUAGGCGACGAUCCUUAGCGGGUCUGAGAGGAUGACCAGCCACACUGGAACUGCGACACGGUCCAGACUCCUACGGGAGGCAGCAGUGGGGAAUAUUGCACAAUGGGCGCAAGCCUGAUGCAGCCAUGCCGCGUGUGUGAAGAAGGCCUUCGGGUUGUAAAGUACUUUCAGCGGGGAGGCGUUACCCGCAGAAGAAGCACCGGCUAACUCCGUGCCAGCAGCCGCGGUAAUUC
rnacentral:rRNA from 1 species